rnacentral:rRNA from 1 species
GAUGAACGCUGGCUACAGGCUUAACACAUGCAAGUCGAGGGGAAACGACGGGGAAGCUUGCUUCCCCGGGCGUCGACCGGCGCACGGGUGAGUAACGCGUAUCCAACCUGCCUCUGACUGAGGGAUAACCCGUCGAAAGUCGGCCUAAUACCUCAUGGCAUCGUCUGCGGGCAUCCAACGACGAUUAAAGAUUUCAUCGGUCAGGGAUGGGGAUGCGUCUGAUUAGCUUGUUGGCGGGGUAACGGCCCACCAAGGCUACGAUCAGUAGGGGUUCUGAGAGGAAGGUCCCCCACAUUGGAACUGAGACACGGUCCAAACUCCUACGGGAGGCAGCAGUGAGGAAUAUUGGUCAAUGGGCGGGAGCCUGAACCAGCCAAGUAGCGUGCGGGAUGACGGCCCUAUGGGUUGUAAACUGCUUUUAUGCGGGGAUAAAGUGAGGGACGUGUCCUUCAUUGCAGGUACCGCAUGAAUAAGGACCGGCUAAUUCCGUG